GAUUAACGCUAGCGGCAGGCAUAAUACAUGCAAGUUGAACGGCAGCACAGGUAGCAAUACUGGGUGGCGAGUGGCGCACGGGUGCGUAACACGUAUGCAACCUACCCUAUACAGGCGAAUAACCUUUAGAAAUGAGGGCUAAUACGCCGUAGUAUUACCGAUGGGCAUCUAUUUGUAAUUAAAGAUUUAUCGGUAUAGGAUGGGCAUGCGUCCCAUUAGUUAGUUGGUAAGGUAACGGCUUACCAAGACGAUGAUGGGUAGGGGAUCUGAGAGGACUUACCCCCACACUGGUACUGAGACACGGACCAGACUCCUACGGGAGGCAGGAGUAAGGAAUAUUGAGCAAUGGCCGCGAGGCUGACCCAGCCAUGCCGCGUGCAGGAAGACGGCCUUAUGGGUUGUAAACUGCUUUUAUACGGGAAUAAUAGAGUGUACGCGUACAUUUAUGAAAGUAUCGUAUGAAUAAGCAUCGGCUAACUACGUG
rnacentral:rRNA from 1 species